rnacentral:rRNA from 1 species
AGUGAACGCUGGCGGUAGGCCUAACACAUGCAAGUCGAACGGCAGCACAGUAAGCGCUUGCUCUUACGGGUGGCGAGUGGCGGACGGGUGAGGAAUACAUCGGAAUCUACUUUUUCGUGGGGGAUAACGUAGGGAAACUUACGCUACUACCUCAUACGACCUACGGGUGAAAGCAGGGGAUCUUCGGACCUUGCGCGAUUGAAUUAGCCGAUGUCGGAUUAGCUAGUUGGCGGGGUAAAGGCCCACCAAGGCGACGAUCCGUAGCUGGUCUGAGAGGAUGAUCAGCCACACUGGAACUGAGACACGGUCCAGACUCCUACGGGAGGCAGCAGUGGGGAAUAUUGGACAAUGGGCGCAAGCCUGAUCCAGCCAUACCGCGUGGGUGAAGAAGGCCUUCGGGUUGUAAAGCCCUUUUGUUGGGAAAGAAAAGCAGCAGGUUAAUACCCCGCUGUUCUGACGGUACCCAAAGAAUAAGCACCGGCUAACUUCGUG